GAAGUAUCUUGGUAUGUAAACCUCUUUUCUCAAGAAAGAAGUUCUGACGGUACUUGAGGAAUAAGCAUCGGCUAACUCCGUGCCAGCAGCCGCGGUAAUACGGAGGGAGCUAGCGUUGAUCGGAAUUACUGGGCGUAAAGCGCACGUAGGCGGUCUAUAAAGUUGGGGGUGAAAUCCCGGAGCUCAACUCCGGAACUGCCUCCAAAACUGCUAGACUCGAGUUCGGAAGAGGUAAGUAGAAUUCCCAGUGUAGAGGUGAAAUUCGUAGAUAUUGGGAAGAAUACCAGUGGCGAAGGCGGCUUACUGGUCCGAUACUGACGCUGAGGUGCGAAAGCGUGGGGAGCAAAC
rnacentral:rRNA from 1 species